GUAGAGCUUAUGCCUAUCCCCUUUCCAAAUUUAUUGGUAAGAUCUUCAGCUACAAAUCAGAUGGAAAAUACCAUGUGGCAGAAGUAGCCACAUCCGUUGCCCCAGGACACGGAGGACAGCUCCUGCCCUUGGCUGCCUGCUCAGCUAACAGCACUGGUCUUGUGACAUCCCGCUCAGAUGGCAGCACAUAUCCGUGUGUUUAAAAAAAUAUGUUAUCUUUACAGCAUUGCUCCAGUAAGAUGACACCCAGAAUACCAGGUACUGAAGAUAAGCAACAGAAGAACUGAAGAUUUGGGGCUGAAUGUGCAUAGAAGUACAUGCAUUCAAGUCCUGGGUUAACAACUUUUCCAAACGUCAUGAGAGCAGCAGUUUGGAGACACAGGACAAAUGCUCCUCCAAAGAGGUGAUGAUCGAUUUUUUGCACAUAAUGUACUGUGCAGUCAGAUCUCUGAACAUCAGUGGCAGGAGGUGCAAAAUCUUUCAUUGCUUUAAUGAGGCAGUCUUAUGAAUAAGGGCAGUCUUAAGCAUAAAACAUCACUUUUUCUACUUCAUGGCAGUUCUAUUUACAAGAUUGUUCCAGUUUUCCCUCCCACUAUUUUACAGAAUUUCAUUUUUAUUUUAUUUUAAAGAAAAAAAGUGUAUUGUAGGAGCUAAUAUUAUUAAUUAUAUUUCCUUACAAUUUAGGAGGUCUGUUUAACAUAUGUCAUUAAAAUAAUGACGCU
rnacentral:lncRNA from 7 species